ensembl:lncRNA
GGAUUGCUGUGCUCCAUUUAAGAUCCCAGACUGCAUCCCUGGUGAACAUCUAAACUGGGAUGCCUGGAAGACUACCCCUUCCAUUGUUGCUGGGGCCACCUCUGGACCGCUGGAGAACACCUGUGCCUCACGGUCACAUUUCAGUAAUAACAUUGUGGUGAAGCUGGACUUGUUCCACUGCCUGAGGCGUUUUUCACGGGAGUGCACCUCUGAGCAUCACCCUCUGUUUUAGCACUUUCUGCCAGCUCCUCUCCGCAGCCUUCUCUGUGGUGGAUCAGGAGGACCUAGGGAGGCUCCAGGAUGCCUAUCGGUUCUGUGGUAUCCAUCCAGCCAAUCCCACCAAACAGCACAUACGGGAGCACUGCAGGACCAAAGUACCACAACCCACAGAGCUGCUAGACAGAGUGGAGAAAGUCCUAAAGCAUUUUCACCUGGCCAUGGACCCCAACAAUGUCCCACUCUUCAAGUCAUCCAUGCUGAAGACGUGGCGCAUACAGAGAGUGCACAUUCUCCGUGGUUGCCUCAGUGACCCUGAACUCUCAGAGGGCAUAAUGUACCGGUAUGGUGGAACUCUUCAGCUAAAUCACAUACCUGGUGAAGGCGCCAAAGUCCCCAUCUGGAUCCCUGUCAGAGGUACGUCACAGCAGGAAGGGUACCACUUUCACCAGGCCCAGUGGAUCACAGGGACUCAUGUCUCCACUGAAUUGUUCCAGGCCCAGGGCAUGACAGGGGUGGCACGGUGGAACCACCAACGGCUGCUGGACCUUAAGCAGCCAGGUGUCAUCCUUCCUGCUGUGUUUGAUCCAGCUCUAAUGGUUGAGUUAAAUUCUACCUCUAAGAGAGUGACUGGGGAGGAGAAGUAUCCUACUCUUCAUCUCUCUGACAGAGACACCGGAGAGAGGUUUGGCCUAGAGUACACAGAGCCAGGCUGCCGUCCAGUCCCUCUGGAUUGGGACAAACACCGAACCCAAAAGAGAGGUGAACCAGCUGCUCUUGUGCCUCUGCCUCCUGUGCAGACACCCACUCCUGCCCAAGCCCAAGCCCAACCCCAAGCCCAACCCCAACCUCCAGACACAGCACCUUCCUCCAGCCGGACACAGCUCUCCGACACAGCAUCCCCUGGACCAGCAUCAUCCAUUGGCCAUUUGCACUCUGCUGGUGAACCUCCUGCAGUGAUAGAAAUAUCACAUGCUAAACCUGCUGCAAUCCAUACGGUACAGAUGUUGUCACAACGAAGCAUGGGACUUCCAGUUAAAAGGGAAACCUCAAAUAUUCCACCCCUGCCUUUGCAAUCCUCACCAAGGAGUGCCCGCACUGGACCAAUCAAGACUGGUGGACGAGUGUUCGUCUUGGACCACAAACGCUGGACAUCACCAAUGAAGGAGGCUAUCGACAGCCUCCUAGACAAUUAUCAUGGACAGAAAGACAUGUUGAAGCUCGUGGAUCAAGACUAUGCAGCUAUGGUCCAUCGGUCUGCCACAGAUCCAAACAGUCUGCUUCACCCCACAACCAAAUACCAUAUAGCACAGUACAUGAAACACCUGGCUAAACAGGUGAACACAAGUUCAUCACUGAACACCAGUCCAGAAAAACUUUUGGAGACACAAAAACUGUGGCAAAGUUUAACUGAGGAAAGUGAGACUGUCCAUGUUUCAGUUGUAGAACUGCCACCAGCCAUUGUGAAUCCAGCAGAUCUGGUCUCACAGCCAGCAUCUGAAAAGCCAGUUUCAGAGGAGAUUGUACAGAAAAUAGUACAGGACAUAUUGCUACAUCAGCAGGAGCAGCAGCAGCAACAAAAACCCAGACAGACAAAAAAAUGUCUCGCGUGUGGGCAGCCAAAAUCCCGCUACCAAAGUGAUGGAUCAUCAGUUCAUCACUUUUAUCAGCAAGGGCCUGUUAGGUAUCACUAUUGCUCCACAAAGGUUUUUAAAGCCUAUUCUGCAGAGGGACUGACAAAUCCUAGAAUGGCCUUUGAAGAGUUUGCACAGACUGACUUCUUUCAGCGUGAACUGCAAUUAACAAAGCGCAGAGUGGAGGACAAAGCUGCAAAGAAGAGGAAACUCCUGGACCCUCAACCUCAGGGAAGAAUGUGCCGUUUCUGUCGCACAGAGCUAAAGCAGGGCCCAAACAGCAAACACAUUCACACAGGGUUUCCAGGAGUGGCAGGAAAAUACAUUUACUGCCCAGCUAAAGUCCUCGCCUUAUAUAAAGACAGAGGCAUGACACAAGAAAUGACCUGGAAGGAAUUUCAAGCUUCAUCAUUCUAUGGCAUGGAAAAGGAGAGGUGGGCAGCAGAGAGAAAGAAAUAGAAAUUCUGAACUUUUAUGCAUACUCUUGAUACACUUCAUAUAUUAGUAAUCUGUUGGUUUCAUGUUGCUCCAUCCAUUCCUUUCAAUUAGAUACACAUUUUAAUCAGUCAUUGUUUUUUACAUUCCUAGCCUAGCACAUGAGCUCUAAAUGGAGCAUAUUCUGGUAGAUUACAACUGUUUGUAAAUCUGUUUAAUCUAAUUGAUUUUGAUGUUAUUCCCUUGUGUCCAUGUAUCUAAUUGAUCUUGUUCUUUUUUUGUUCUUGCGAAGGAUUUGUAUAUCAGAACUGAUAGUCAUUACUCGUUAUAAAAUUAUUUUUAUACUAUACUUAUUUUAGUCCCUAUUCUUCAACUUCUGCCCAUCCCAUUGCUUUGCAGCAGCUAUAAUUUCCUUAUACUUGUUUGUUUGUUUGUUUAUAUAUAUAUAUAUAUAUAUAUAUAUAUAUAUAUAUAUAUAUAUAUAUAUAUAUAUAUAUAUAUAUACUUGUUUUAGCCUCUCUGAAGGCAGCACAUGUUUGAGUUGAUUUAAUAAAACACUGAUUUUAAGUAAAGAACUUGUUUC